GCCGCGUCAUCCGCACGCGCGUCAGUCUCUCGUCGGCCGCCGCACUCCCUCGAUUCGCGCCGUCGGUGCGCGCGGGAUGGCGCCCGCGCUUUGUUCUCCACUUCUCCCUGCCGCUACCACCACCACCACCACCACUCAUAUCUCUGCCUCUCCAGCCACGCCCGUCCCCGGAGCGGCGCCGUCGGCCCACCAGGAUUGAACACCACUAAAUCCUUCUUUCCCACCCAAUGUCAAUCGGUAGGGGCUGUCCCGCGUGGCGUUCCUCCAUGGAAGCAUCCAACAGCAACCAAGGACCAGACCAUCUCAUUGUUCUGGUUCAUGGUAUCAUGGCAAGCCCCAGUGACUGGAUAUAUGGGGACACAGUGCUGAAAAGGAGGCUAGGUGAUGAUUUCUUCAUCAAUG